AAAAAUGCUACCACGUCAGCAGAGACCAAUUUGAACACACGUGCACUACCCGUUAUAAAAACCUUAAGCCCCCGCCAUAAGGUUCCAAACAAUCAUCGAGGAACCCAGCAAAGUUGUGUGUGUACUGAAUACGAAGAAUGAAGCUCGCGAUCACCUUGGGGCUAAUUUCCUUGAUACUUCACAUUGUGCCAAGUAAAGGCAUAUCUCAGAUGGUGAAUUUGACGGAAGAAGCAGUGAAAUACAUCAGCAAGACAAACGAGGGCAUUAGGUGGGUGAGCUUUAAGGACAAACCGCAAUCCGGGAAGGAAACCCCAGUUACAGUGACUGCAAAAAAUCCUGUUUACGAUGAUGGAUGUCAACAACCGCCAAGGUUAAAUUAUACGCUGUGCAGUGAUUACUUUUUGUGGUAUAUAUAUCAUAAAAUAUGGACUCCGUUUGAAAUCUUCGUGAACUUUACAGUCUUAUAUAAGGGUCAAAAGAACCACACUUUCACAUUUAACCUGAGCGACGCUUCCUACGUCCUUUGGGAUCCAGAGAAUCUGACGACGCCACUUCCGUACACGAAAAAUUUUUCCGAAAAGAAAUGCAAUUUUACUGUUGAAGUUACCUUCAAUGGAAAGUUCAGUUACGAAGUCGAAAGACCAAGAGGAGACAAGCCGAAGCAAAAUAAUGUUGGUGUUGGACUGCUCGAAAACAAGGCUCUUGGUCUGGUAAAGCACAGUGAUACAAUGCUAGCUUACAACGUGAGUGGUGUCUUCCAACACACUGUGAUAUGCCCUGACGGAAGAGGAACCCUUUAUAACAAACUCCGCCUACGUGAACGAAACAAAAACUUAUUGGUGAGAGCGUUGAUUCGU